rnacentral:lncRNA from 1 species
GUGGUAGUAGUAGAAAUGAUGAAUGUAGUGAUAGCAGUUUAGUGAUCUAGUGGUGGUAAUAGUAAUAAUGAUGAUGGUAGUGAUAGCAGUUUAGUGAUGGUGGUGGUGGUAGUAGUAGUAGUAAUGAUGAUGGUAUUGAUAGCAGUUCAGUGAUGGUGGUAGUAGUAGUAAUGAUGAUGGUAGUGAUAGCAGGUUAGUGAUGGUAGAUGUGGAAGUUGUAGUAAUGGCGAUGGUAGUGAUAGCAGUUUAGUGACGGUGGUGGUGGUAGUAGUAGUAAUGAUGAUGGUAGUGAUAGCAGUUUAGUGAUGGUGAUGGUAGUAGUAGUAAUGAUGUUGGUAGUGACAGCAGUUUAGUGAUGGUGGUGGUAGAAGUAAUAAUGAUGAUGGUAUUGAAAGCAGUUUAGUGAUGGUGGUGGUAGUAGUAGUAAUGAUGAUGGUAGUGAUAGCAGUUUAGUUAUGGUGGUGGUAGUAGUAGUGAUGAUGAUGGUAGUGAAAGCAGUUUAGUGAUGGUUGUGGUAGUAGUAGUAAUGAUGAUGGUAGUGAUAGCCAUUUAGUAAUGGUGGUGGUAGUAGUAGUAAUGAUGAUGGCAGUGAUAGCAGUUUAGUGAUGGUGGUGGUAGUAGUAUUAAUG